rnacentral:rRNA from 1 species
CCUAUCAGCUAGUUGGCGGGGUAAAAGCCCACCAAGGCUACGACGGGUAGCUGGUCUUAGAGGACGACCAGCCACACUGGAACUGAAACACGGUCCAGACACCUACGGGUGGCAGCAGUCGAGAAUCUUUCACAAUGGGGGCAACCCUGAUGGAGCGACGCCGCGUGGAGGAUAAGGUCUUCGGAUUGUAAACUCCUGUCAUGCGAGAACAAGGUUGUGGAGUUAAUAGCUCUGCAAAUUGAUGGUACCGCAAGAGGAAGAGACGGCUAACUCUGUGCCAGCAGCCGCGGUAAUACAGAGGUCUCAAGCGUUGUUCGGAAUCACUGGGCGUAAAGGGUGCGUAGGUGGCGUGGUAAGUCAGAUGUGAAAGCCCGGGGCUCAACCUCGGAAUUGCAUCCGAUACUGCCGUGCUAGAGUACUGAAGAGGUGACUAGAAUUCUCGGUGUAGCAGUGAAAUGCGUAGAUAUCGAGAGGAAUACCAACGGCGAAGGCAGGUCACUGGGCAGUUACUGACACUGAGGCACGANGGCCAGGGGAGCAAACGGGAUUAGAUACCCCGGUAGUCCUGGCAGUAACGGUGCACGUUUGGUGUGGGCGCAAUCGACCGCGUCCGCGCCGGAGCUAACGCGUUAAACGUGCC